UAUCAAAUAUAAUUUCGCAAUCGAUAUGUUGAGUAGUCCCUGCGUAAACGCUUUGUUGUGUUUGUAUAAGAACCAAUUUCAUCGGAGCAUCGAUUAUCUAUUGUAAUAUUAUAUUGCAUUAUUUGUGCAUAUUAUUUAUUGUACAGUAGUAUUGUACAGUAGCAUAUUAUAUAUUGCAUUAUUAGUUUUAUAUACAUAUAUAAGCAAUUAAGGCAAAACUUUUGCGUCAAUUAUGUAUACUCAUUUUAAGAAUUCCGUCCGGAAAGCAAUGCCUGAAAGUUGUGACCAGUCAUGUACGUCUGUUACCUCUGCUGACUAUUCAUGUUGAACAGGAUAUGAUAUUUAUAUAUGUAUCUUUUUCAAUCAAUAAACAAAUAAACCUAUUGUAGAAUUAUCAUUAAAUCAUGUGCAAUGACAUAUAUAAGAUUUCCUUUCUGAUAUAUGAUAUCAGCAAUUCCACGUUGAAUCUAAGAAUUUUACUUCAAAUAAACUAGAAUUUUUUAUCAGAGAGGAAAUGAGAGUACUCGCAAUCGUAGUUCUAGUUGUUUCACAGUACAGGUGCUGCACCAUGCGACCAAGUCUUGAAGUUAACUAAAGUAAGCGUAUAUAACAACCUAUAAAAUUAGGGAGCUGCCCUGUUUGGUUGCAUACUAGCACAGACAAGAACCUGUUGAGUUCCACGCUACAAUUGUACGGUUCUACGGAAAAGUUCAUAUCCACUUUUCUCUUCGAGAUAGACAAGUAUGAGAAUGACAAAGUCGCGGAAUAAUGAAACUAAUUGUGACUUAAAGAAAAGAGUAUGAAUCCCGACAUCUUCGUCCGAGAACAGGACGUUUAGACGCAAGGCGAGGGUGCAGUUUCCUGCUGAUCGCGGAAACUCUCUUAUUCUGAUUCUAGAAGCAUUCGAAGGAGAGCAUUCGAAGGAGAGCCUUCCGUUAAAAGUGAAGAAGAUCCGUGCCCGAGAAGAUUAAAAAAGAAGAGCGCAGCUCUCAAGAGUUAAGAGGAAGGGUGAAGAGCAGUUGAGAUUUCCUCGAAGGCACAAAUUUACACUUGAAUAAUAUGAGUCUGACUCAAACGUUUUGAAUUGUUUUUCUUUAUAGGAUACUCUAUUGGUAUAGAAAUAUGGGGCACACAUAUUAGGGGAACAUACAUAUUAGAAAAGUAAAUACGAACUUUUCCGUAGAACCGUACAAUUGUAGCGUGGAACUCAACAGGUUCUUGUCUGUGCUAGUGUGCAACCAAACAGGGCAGAUCCCUAAUUUUAUAGCUUGUUAUAUACGCUAACUUCAGUUACCUAACUACAGCACCUGUACUGUGAAACAUCUAGAACUACAGACGUGAGCACUCUCAUUUCCUCUCUGCCCAAAGACACUACAUUUUUGAAUAAG